UACAGAGGGUGCAAGCGUUGCUCGGAAUUACUGGGCGUAAAGCGUGUGUAGGCGGUCUUGUAAGUCGGGUGUGAAAGCCCUAGGCUCAACCUAGGAACUGCGCCCGAUACUGCGAGACUUGAGUGUCGGAGAGGAUAGUGGAAUUCCCAGUGUAGAGGUGAAAUUCGUAGAUAUUGGGAGGAACCCCAGAGGCGAAGGCGGCGCCCUGGCUCGCAACUGACGCUCAGACACGACAGCAUGGGGAGCGAACGGG
rnacentral:rRNA from 1 species